rnacentral:rRNA from 1 species
CAGAGGAUGAACGCUAGCGGCAGGCUUAACACAUGCAAGUCGAGGGGUAACGCGAGGUAGCAAUACUUUGGCGACGACCGGCGCACGGGUGCGUAACGCGUAUGCAACCUACCUGUAACAGGGGUAUAACGGAGAGAAAUUUCCACUAAUCCCCCAUAUUGUUGUGAUACCGCAUGAUAUUGCAACGAAAGCUUCGGUGGUUACGGAUGGGCAUGCGUGACAUUAGGUAGUUGGCGGGGCAACGGCCCACCAAGCCGACGACGUCUAGGGGAGCUGAGAGGCUUAUCCCCCACACUGGUACUGAGACACGGACCAGACUCCUACGGGAGGCAGCAGUGAGGAAUAUUGGUCAAUGGACGGAAGUCUGAACCAGCCAUGCCGCGUGGAGGAAGAAGGUCCUAUGGGUUGUAAACUCCCUUUUGUCCGAAGAGUUGUAAAACUCCUUUUGUCCGAGAGUAAAUAAAGAGGGAUGCGUCCCUCGAUGAGAGUAUCGGGCGAAUAAGCAUCGGCUAACUCCGUGCCAGCAGCCGCGGUAAUACGGAGGAUGCAAGCGUUAUCCGGAUUUAUUGGGUUUAAAGGGUGCGCAGGCGGCGCGUUAAGUCAGCGGUGAAAUCUCCCGGCUCAACCGGGGAACUGCCGUUGAUACUGGCGUGCUCGAGUACGGACGGCGCCGGCGGAAUGUGUCAUGUAGCGGUGAAAUGCUUAGAUAUGCCACAGAACACCGAUCGCGAAGGCAGCUGGCGAGGCCGGGACUGACGCUCAGGCACGAAAGCGUGGGGAUCAAACAGGAUUAGAUACCCUGGUAGUCCACGCAGUA